UACGGGGGGGGCAAGCGUUGUUCGGAAUUACUGGGCGUAAAGGGCUCGUAGGCGGCCCACUAAGUCCGACGUGAAAUCCCCAGGCUUAACUUGGGAACUGCGUCGGAUACUGGUGGGCUUGAAUCCGGGAGAGGGAUGCGGAAUUCCAGGUGUAGCGGUGAAAUGCGUAGAUAUCUGGAGGAACACCGGUGGCGAAGGCGGCAUCCUGGACCGGCAUUGACGCUGAGUGAGCGAAAGCGUGGGGAGCGAACAGG
rnacentral:rRNA from 1 species